rnacentral:tRNA from 1 species
AUCUAAGUAGCUUAAAUUAGAGCAUGACAUUGAAGAUGUCAGGGUAAUUGAAUAAUUCUUGGAUG